AUCUUUUACCAAUAGGAACAAUAAGAACAAUUCGAUGAAUGGCGGUUUUAAUGGUGCCAAGGGACCCAAUUCUGCAAACUUGCCUCCUGCUCCUCCCCUCUUGGAUGAU
rnacentral:ribozyme from 1 species